GAAAUGCGAUACGUAAUGUGAAUUGCAGAAUCCCGUGAAUCAUCAAAUUUUCGAACGCACAUUGCGCUCUUGGGUAUUCCUGAGAGCAUGCCUGUUUGAGUGUCAGUAUCAAACCUCAAACCCUGAUGGGUUUGGACUUGGGCCUUCUCAGAUGGAAACGUCUGAGUUGGAUGCUUAAAUGUAUAGGAGGAUUAGCUAUAGUAACCCUUUGUUAGGCGUGAUAAUGGUGUAGAUUACAUCUUUAGCUUCGUCUAUGCUGGGGUGAAGUAUGCUAAGUUUUUCUCCGAAAUCGCCCACCUCGGGCAACGACUAGAGGUUUUCGGACCUCUUGAAACUUGACCUCAAAUCAAGCAAGAUUACCCGCUGAACUUAA
rnacentral:misc_RNA from 1 species